AUUGAACGCUGGCGGCAUGCUUUACACAUGCAAGUCGAACGGUAACAGGCCUUCGGGUGCUGACGAGUGGCGAACGGGUGAGUAAUGCAUCGGAACGUGCCCAAUCGUGGGGGAUAACGUAGCGAAAGUUACGCUAAUACCGCAUAAGCCCUGAGGUGGAAAGUGGGGGACCGCAAGGCCUCACGCGAAUGGAGCGGCCGAUGUCAGAUUAGCUAGUUGGUGGGGUAAAGGCUCACCAAGGCGACGAUCUGUAGCGGGUCUGAGAGGAUGAUCCGCCACACUGGGACUGAGACACGGCCCAGACUCCUACGGGAGGCAGCAGUGGGGAAUUUUGGACAAUGGGCGCAAGCCUGAUCCAGCCAUGCCGCGUGCGGGACGAAGGCC
rnacentral:rRNA from 1 species